UAUUUUCAGAAUGGCUCAAGCAGUUGCCUGUGGAGAGCUUUAGAUCGCCCUAAAUCUUGUCAACUUCCCCAGCAGCCCCCAAUGCUUAUGCAACCUCAGUAAAAACAGCUGCUUGCAAGGAAGAUGCAGUUCCAGGGCCAAUCCGCAGCCUACCUCUCCAGCUCUGAGUCCUGUCACUGACCUCUCAAGUCUUGGAGGUUUCAUAGCUGAUAUACAAUUUAGAAGUGGAAAAACCCACCAGCGAUCCUCUAAUCCAGCUCUCUGCAUUCUAAAAGGAUGGUCUAAGAAGAUGAUAUCUGGGCAUCGACCUAAAUGAAUGAGGGAAUGCAACAUGUCAACAUGAAUGGAAACAGUCUUUCAGGCAGAAGGAACAGACUGCACAGGUUGUGAAAAAGGAACAAGCUUGGUGCGUUGGAAGGACAACAAGAACAUCCACAUGGUCAGUGCAGAUUACGUAAGGAAGACCGGAAAGAGCCAAGGUCCCUCAGACUUACAGGCCAUGAGGAUUAAAAGAAUGAAGGAACGUAUUUGAAAAGAGAAGAUGAGACAAAAGACAAAAUCAGAACUGCAUUUUGCUUUAAAUUCUAUUUUGGAUUUUUUUUUAACUUUUUCAUAAUUCAGAGCUUUACAUGAACUUCACCAUAAAAGAAACUUUAAGAGAAAAAAAGAAUUUGUCUUUACUAUUUUUAUAUUGUGUGUAUGUGUUUAUAUGGGAACAAAACAAAACUGAUGAGAAACAGCUGAAUGAACAUGUGGCUUUUAAAACAUUAUGUAAUAAAAGAGAAGGAAAAGAUCUAGAGUCCUACAUUGCACAUAUGAUAUUUUGUCCCUAUCGGCACCUUUUUUUUUCUUAAGGAUAUCAAAAUCUGAUGUGAUUUCACCGGUGACCCAGCUUCUAGAAUUACAUUCUGCAAAACUGUUUCCCUUCCAUAGGCUUAGUGAAAUGUGCAGUGAUGGCUUCCACGUGAAGAUAAGCCCCCAACAUGUUCUCCAAGCAAACCCAGGCACACGUUUAGAACCAAAGUGACAGAUACAUUAAAUCUAGGUUGAUUACAUAGAAAGUGAAGAAAAUCAUAUGUAACAAAAUAACAUUAGUGGUUGAAAUAUCAAAAACCUUAAAUUCUAUGCUAGCAAGUUAGUUUUUUUUUUUUUCAACAAAGUUAAGCAUGUCUGGACACCAAUGAAAUGUGUGCAGUUUUCUUUCUAAAUAAAAUCCUGGGAUAUAAACAAAAAGCACCAAACAAAAGUGCUAUUUUUUCAUGGUCACUAAAAUAAAACUGAAUUCAAAAUAGCUGAAUUCAUGAAGAGCUUAAAGGCAUAUCAUAAAUCCACACAAUGGUGUCUUAAUUUCACUUACAAUGUUUGAGUUUGCUGCCAAAAGUUCAAUUUUCUCUCUUUUUUAAUUGAGGUAAGUACCUAUGAAAGAAUUGUACUUCCUAAAAAGAAAGCACAACUUUACAAGAAAAAAAUUAAUUGCUCUCAUCUCCAGUUAAACACAAUGUCCAUCUUUAUUAGAUCAAAAAGGGAAUAUUGUACCAGUGAGUUGACCAAUAAUACAAAUAGGCUGGAAGUUCUAACAAAAAGAAAUGUUCAAUCUCCCUCCUCUCCCCAGUAAUCUGAUUCUCAUCCAUAGACUACUUUGACCUUACAGAAAGGUUUAUUUUUUAAAAAAUGGGCAGAACAGAAAAGAAUACAAUUCCUUGGUCAAGAGACCAAGACUUGAAUCAUACUAACCAAGAAGAUCAAUUCUAUGUUCAACAUCAGACCACACAUUUUGCCAAAUAUGAUAGACUGGCAAAUAGGAUAUUUGGUCAAAAUGGCUGUGGUAAAAAUUUGUACGUGUAGAAUCAUGCUAUGUAAACAGAUUUUGAAACAAUUUCAGUGGUAGUUCAAGGUCAAAACCUUUUCAUGCAUACUAUAAUAUUCAGCUGAACAGAGCUCACAGACAACCCUCUCAUCUG